UGCGUAGGCGGGCUAAUAAGUCAGUGGUGAAAUCUCUCGGCUCAACCGGGAAACUGCCAUUGAUACUGUUAGUCUUGAGUUCGGUUGAGGUAGGCGGAAUGUGUAAUGUAGCGGUGAAAUGCUUAGAUAUUACACGGAACACCAAUUGCGUAGGCAGCUUACUAGACCGACACUGACGCUGAGGCACGAAAGCGUGGGGAGCGAACAGGAUUAGAUACCCUGGUAGUCC
rnacentral:rRNA from 1 species